GACGAACGCUGGCGGCGUGCCUAAUACAUGCAAGUAGAACGGUGAAGCGAGGAGCUUGCUCUUCUUGGAUGAGUUGCGAACGGGUGAGUAACGCGUAGAUAACCUGCCUUGUAGCGGGGGAUAACUAUUGGAAACGAUAGCUAAUACCGCAUAACAAUGGAUGACACAUGUCAUUUAUGUGAAAGGGGCAAUUGUUGCACUACAAGAUGGACCUGCGUUUUAUUAGCUAGUAGGUGAGGUAAUGGCUCACCUAGGCGACGCUACCUAGCCGACGUGAGGGGGUGAUCGGCCCCACUGGGACUGGGACCCGGCCCAGAAUCCCUCGGGGGGCAGCAGGAGGGAAACUUCGGCAAUGGGGGGAACCCUUACCGCGCAACGCCGCGUGAGUGAAGAAGGUUUUCGGGUCGUUAAGCUCUGUUUUUAGUCAAGAACGGGUGUGAGAGUGGAAAGUUCACACUGUGACGGUAGCUUACCAGAAAGCAACGGCUAACUACGUG
rnacentral:rRNA from 1 species